UUCUGGCAUACUGCUACUUGGUUUCUAGUGAUAUCAAAAUUAAAAUGAACUAUCAAAGGUAAAAAAAAAACUAGAAAGCAAUAAAAUUUCUCUAUGUAACUUGUCUUUUCCAAUUCACAAGGUCUUCAACAUUUUUCCUUUAAUAAUAUUAGUAUCUUCAUCAUAACCUAGUCAAGGUCAACUACAUACUCUUCUUCAUUAAAAAUAAUGAAAUAUCCAUCAUCCAGGAGGAGAGCAUUUAUUUGAAGAAUUGGAAAAACGAAGACUAAGAUAACUUUGCAGAAAAGAUUCCACAAUGGUGAACCACCCACCUCCCAUCAUCAAGCCUUCCUUUAGUAAGAACAAUGCCUCACAACAAAGCUAAGAACACCUACAUAGGCUCCUUUUCCCAAUCAAAUAAACCCCUACACAAUUCAAGUCCAUCUCUUAUUAUUCCAUUAACCACAUUCAUGAAUAAGUUUUCUUUUAUUCACAUAGAUAGCAUAAAUAGAAGGAAAGAUAUCGAUAAAGCGGCGAGUUAUCCACCAUACAUCUUCCUAGAAUAACAUUUUAUUAGCACAAUUGCUCUUUUUUGCAAUACAAGAGUAAAACCAACCAUCAUACCUCCCCAUAUUAGAUAAAUCUUUAUACCAUAAGGAAUUAGAAGUAAAAGAGGAACAUCUCUUUAGUUUCAAAAGAGCAACAUCAAAGUUACCAUAUCAAGGAAGAAGAACUCUCACCCAUAAAUAUUUUGUUUUGGUUAACAACCUCCAUCUCCAUUAUGUAAGAAAAGAUAAAUUAAAGCAAUUCAAAUCCUUAAUUCCUAACCCUCCCCCUUCUUUUUUUUUGCAUAACUACUCUCACUUUACCCAAGCAAUCUUUGGAAGGAUAUCACUUCUAACCCAUAAAUAGAUUUUUUUAUUGUUAACAAAAAUCUUCAAAACACAUUUUCGCAGUCUAAAAAUGAUAAAUAAUAAACUUGCAAACUAUUAAGAACUAAGUUUACCUUGGUAAUUCUUCCAUCCAAAGAUAGAUGCUUCCCCUUCCACAGCCAAUUUCUUCUUCAAUGAAACAAUGACCGGCUGCCAGCAAGCACUCUUCUAAGGUUAGCUCCAAUAGAAACACCCAAAUACAUAAAAAGCAGAGAACUCGAAAAAAUCAUGAUAAAAUUAGUGAGAACUAUAGUAUUAAGAUAAUCUAUAGAUGAUUUUUUGGAAAUGUAAUUUGAACAUUUAUGAUUUAAAAUUCAACCAAUUUUAGUACAAAUAAUAUCUGAUAACUCAUCCACUAGAUUUUCUCAUAUUAAC
rnacentral:lncRNA from 1 species